rnacentral:rRNA from 1 species
GAUGAACGCUGGCGGCGUGCUUAACACAUGCAAGUCGAACGGAAAGGCCGACUCUUUCUUCGGUCCUCGGGUGGCGAACGGGUGUCUAACACGUGUGUGAUCUGCCCUGUCCUUCUGGAUAAGCUUGGGAAACUGGGUCUAAUACCGGAUAUGACGAUCCCUUGGUCGGGGUUUUUUAAAGCUUUUGCGUUAUGGGAUGUGCUCGCGGCCUAUCAGCUUGUUGGUGGGGUAAUGGCCUACCAAGGCGUCGACGGGUAGCCGGCCUGAGAGGGUGUACGGGCGGAGUGGGACUGAGAUACGGCCCAGACUGCUACGAGAGGCAGCAGUGGGGAAGAUUGCACAAUGGGAGCAAGCCUGAUGCAGAGACGCCGCGUGGGGGAUGAAGGCCUUCGGGUUGUAAACGCCUUUCGCAAUCGACGAAGCCUUUUGGUGACGGUAGGUGGAGAAGAAGCACCGGCUAACUACGUG